UACAGCCAGUGCAGGGCCCCCAGCCCAGGAUGAGAACAGGACCACACCUGGCUCCUCCAGGCAGCCGCUGGACUCCAGGACACUGACUCUGCAAGAUUUAUUUUGACCACAUUAUAAUACGAAUGAGGGGAAAACUGUCUGAUGGAAUAUCCAGUCCACACUUGGGAACAGACUGCUUGAAGAACAUUCUCAUUUCCAGAUUGGAACAUGCCCUUCCAGAAUGAGAAUUCGUUCAGCCUCUCUGCCCAGUUCUGAUCUGUAAGCUUCCACCUCGAUUCCUUAAUUCCACGUAGCCCAGGUCCCACACCAGCUUUCCGGCCAUCAUACUCGCCCCUGGGGAAAAAUGAGAGAUAUCCAAAUGUGAGAAAGAACGGCAAUCACCACUAUCAACAGCUAACAUUGACGAGACUCCAGCUCUGUACCAGGAAGAGAAAGGUGGAACAGGAGAACCAAGAGAAACAGGAGCCAGCGUUUUUUCUAUGGAUGGGUAGAAGGUUCCUACAGGUUGUGCCUGUGAGGAAAGCAUACAACCUAAGCUGCUAUUGUGAAGCCACCAUUUCAUUCAUUUCAUCAUCUACUUGGGCCCUGCAAAGCUUUUUUUUUUUUUUUUUUUUUUGCCACCCUGGUUCUGUGGCCCCCUAUCACAGAAAAUCCUCUCCAACACUACUGGAAUAUUUUCACCUGUCUGUUAUGCUGCCUGAAACGUGAAGAUUCAUUUGGGUUAAGAAGCCUGCCAAGGGACUUCCCUGGUGGCACAAUGGUUAAGAAUCCACCUGCCAAUGCAGGGGACAUGGGUUCGAGCCCUGGUCCCGGAAGAUCCCACA